GAAUUUUGGACCAUGGGCGAAAGCCUUAUCCAGCACUGCCGCGCGCAGGAUGAAGGCCUUCGGGUUGUAAACUGCUUUUGUCCGGAACGAAAAUCUUUGGAUUAAUACCAUCGGUUCAUGACGGUACCGUAAGAACAAGCAACGGCUAACCACGUGCCAGCAACCGCGGUAAUACGUAGGGUGCAAGCGUUAAUCGGAAGUACGGGGCGUAAAGGGUGCGCAGGCGGUGUUGUAAGACAGAGGUGAAAUCCCCGGGCUCAACCUGGGAACUGCCUUUGUGACUGCAAGGCUAGAGUACGGCAGAGGGGGGUGGAAUUCCGCGUGUAGCAGUGAAAUGCGUAGAUAUGCGGAGGAACACCGAUGGCGAAGGCAACCCCCUGGGCCUGUACUGACGCUCAUGCACGAAAGCGUGGGGAGCAAACAGG
rnacentral:rRNA from 1 species